GUAUGGUAUUGGCUUACCGUGGCAGUGACGGUUAACGGGGGAUUAGGGUUCGAUUCCGGAGAGGGAGCCUGAGAAACGGCUACCACAUCUAAGGAAGGCAGCAGGCGCGCAAAUUACCCAAUUCUAAUAGCAAAAGAGAGGUAGUGACAAGAAAUAACAGUACAAGGCAAUUAAAAUGCUUUGUAAUUGGAAUGAUAGAAAUUUAAAUACUUUUUAAAGUAUCAAUUGGAGGGCAAGUCUGGUGCCAGCAGCCGCGGUAAUUCCAGCUCCAAUAGCGUAUAUUAAAAUUGUUGCAGUUAA
rnacentral:rRNA from 1 species